rnacentral:lncRNA from 1 species
GGAGAUGGUGGCGGAAAAGAUAGUCGGAUGGAGCAAGUUUAUUAUGCGAGCGCAAUUUCAACUCCGUCGAGAGACAGUCAAAAGAGUUGGGAUGAUAACAAUGAUGAACGUGCAAGGUGGAUGUGGGCACCUAACGAACCAAACGAGCAUUAUUGGGGAGAGGAAUUCAAUCGCCAAGUGACUUCGGUCACAUUAGCUUGAACAAAGAAGCAGACAAAGUCCGGC